GUCAGGAUUCCAGCCCUGAGACCACUUGGGCUGCCUGUCAGCACACCCUGUCUAGGUGUCUGGAGCAGGUAGCAGCUGCAGGCUGUAACAUCCUCAGGUAUUGUAUUCACUUCCAUGCUCACCUGCCAAUCACCAGGAACUAUAAAAGGGAAUGUAUGUAAAAUUUGUUUUAAUUUGUACAUUUGAGUAUAACAGGCUUUAAUUAAGAUGAGGAAAGAGAUGAAGACAUGCUAAAUGGUGUGUGGGAGACCAUGACGACAUAACAUCCAAUUUAAUGGCUGGUACAAGAAGAAUCAACUUGAAAGCUAAACUUGAAGUGUGUGCAUUGGCCGGUUGGGAAGGGAAAGCUGUUCAUUGUCAACAUGCACCAAAUUACCAUAAGGGCAGCUGAACAUAGGAGGCAAAAGGAGAGAGAGAGCGCGAGGAAUGAAGGCUCAGAAGAAAAACUGUUGAAGGAAGAGAAAUAAACGACACACAGAAUUGGAAUGUGAAGUGGCUGGAGAUCUAGUGGGCUUUUUGAAACAUCCCGGCACGCCUACGCUACACACAUGUCAGCUGGGCCUGAAAUUUCCACUGCGCAAGGCCUUCAUGUCAAAAGAAGCUUUUUGUAAAAAGAAGUAAAAAGAAAAAGAAAGAAAAGAAAAGAAAAAGGAAAGAAACCAGAGAGGAGGAAGCUGCAAUAUCCCAAGAUGGCAUCUAUAAACCAAGAUAUUUCAACGUUUCCUCUGGUAACUUGCUCUU